GAUGAACGCUGGCGGCGUGCCUAAUACAUGCAAGUCGAGCGAACAGACGAGGAGCUUGCUCCUCUGACGUUAGCGGCGGACGGGUGAGUAACACGUGGAUAACCUACCUAUAAGACUGGGAUACCUUCGGGAAACCGGAGCUAAUACCGGAUAAUAUAUUGAACCGCAUGGUUCAAUAGUGAAAGACGGUUUUGCUGUCACUUAUAGAUGGAUCCGCGCCGCAUUAGCUAGUUGGUAAGGUAACGGCUUACCAAGGCGACGAUGCGUAGCCGACCUGAGAGGGUGAUCGGCCACACUGGAACUGAGACACGGUCCAGACUCCUACGGGAGGCAGCAGUAGGGAAUCUUCCGCAAUGGGCGAAAGCCUGACGCAGCAACGCCGCGUGAGUGAUGAAGGUCUUCGGAUCGUAAAACUCUGUUAGUAGGGAAGAACAAAUGUGUAAGUAACUAUGCACGUCUUGACGGUACCUAAUCAGAAAGCCACGGCUAACUACGUG
rnacentral:rRNA from 1 species